AUAUUCUCCGUUCGGGGAAGGAUGAGAAGCUUCGACUAAGGUUCGACUCGAGCAUCGCGAGAGAGCGUUGCCGAAGGCAACGACCCGAAGGGCGAGGCGCUUGCGCCGAGUAAUCCUUCCCCCUGCUUAU
rfam:Enterobacter cloacae S611 EDP2.NODE_1810, whole genome shotgun sequence.